rnacentral:rRNA from 1 species
AGUGAACGCUGGCGGCGUGCCUAAUACAUGCAAGUCGAACGGAGUGGCGCACGGGGGAGUAAGGUAUAGCUAUUCUGCCCUACAUUAGAGGACAACAGUUGGAAAAGAGUGCUCAUACUCUAUAGUGUAGGAUGAGGCUAUAUUGGAUCAGCUAGUUGGUGAGGUAAGGGCUCACCAAGGCUAUGACGCAUAACUGGUCUGAGAGGAUGAUCAGUCACACUGGAACUGAGACACGGUCCAGACUCCUACGGGAGGCAGCAGUAGGGAAUAUUGCGCAAUGGGGGAAACCCUGAAGCAGAAACGCCGCGUGGAGGAUGACACUUUUCGGAGCGUAAACUCCUUUUGUUAGGGAAGCGGUACCUAACGAAUAAGCACCGGCUAACUCCGUGCCAGCAGCCGCGGUAAUAC